GGGGAUAUAGCUCAGUGGGUAGAGUGCUUGCCUCAAAAGCACAAGGCCUGGCAGGUUCAAUCCCCAGCACCACCA
rnacentral:tRNA from 1 species